AGAGUUUGAUCCUGGCUCAGAACGAACGCUGGCGGCGUGCCUAACACAUGCAAGUCGAGCGGGAUACGGGGGCGACUCCGUGUCCAGCGGCGGACGGGUGAGUAACACGUGGGUAAUCUGCCCGAGAGUGGGGAAUACCUCGCCGAAAGGCGAGCUAAUACCGCAUACGACCCCCGGGACUCUGGUCCUGAGGGUGAAAGGGGGGGCAACCUCCCGCUUUCGGAGGAGCCCGCGUCCGAUUAGCUAGUUGGAGGGGUAACGGCCCACCAAGGCAUCGAUCGGUAGCCGGCCUGAGAGGGUGAUCGGCCACACUGGAACUGAGACACGGUCCAGACUCCUACGGGAGGCAGCAGUGGGGAAUCUUGCGCAAUGGGCGAAAGCCUGACGCAGCAACGCCGCGUGGAGGAUGAAGGUCUUUGGAUUGUAAACUCCUGUCGAGCGGGAAGAAAGGCUCGGGGCCAAUACCCCCGGGAUUUGACUGUACCGCCAGAGGAAGCCCCGGCUAACUCCGUGCUAGCAGCCGCGGUAAUAC
rnacentral:rRNA from 1 species